rnacentral:rRNA from 1 species
AACGAACGCUGGCGGCAGGCUUAACACAUGCAAGCCGAGCGCCCCGCAAGGGGAGCGGCAGACGGGUGAGUAACGCGUGGGAAUCUACCCAUCUCUACGGAAUAACGCAUGGAAACGUGUGCUAAUACCGUAUACGUCCUUCGGGAGAAAGAUUUAUAGGAAAUGGAUGAGCCCGCGUUGGAUUAGGUAGCUGGUGGGGUAAAGGCCUAACAAGGCGACGAACCAUAGCUGGUGUGAGUGGAUGAUCAGCCACACUGGGACUGAGACACGGCCCAGACUCCUACGGGAGGCAGCAGUGGGGAAUAUUGGACAAUGGGCGCAAGCCUGAUCCAGCCAUGCCGCGUGAGUGAUGAAGGGCCUAGGGUUGUAAAGCUCUUUCACCGGUGAAGAUAAUGGCGGUAACCGGAGAAGAAGCCCCGGCUAACUUCGUGCCAGCCGCCGCGGUAAUAC